UACAGAGGUCCCAAGCGUUGUUCGGAUUCACUGGGCGUAAAGGGUGCGUAGGUGGCGAGGUAAGUCGGAUGUGAAAGCUCGGAGCUCAACUCCGAAAUGGCAUUGGAAACUACCUUGCUUGAGGGUUGGAGGGGGGACUGGAAUUCUCGGUGUAGCAGUGAAAUGCGUAGAUAUCGAGAGGAACACCAGUGGGCGAAGGCGAGUCCCUGGACAACACCUGACACUGAGGCACGAAAGCUAGGGGAGCAAACAGG
rnacentral:rRNA from 1 species